CCAGACUCCUACGGGAGGCAGCAGUGGGGAAUCUUCCGCAAUGGACGAAAGUCUGACGGAGCAACGCCGCGUGAGUGAUGACGGCCUUCGGGUUGUAAAGCUCUGUUAAUCGGGACGAAAGGCCUUCUUGCGAAUAGUGAGAAGGAUUGACGGUACCGGAAUAGAAAGCCACGGCUAACUACGUGCCAGCAGCCGCGGUAAUACGUAGGUGGCAAGCGUUGUCCGGAAUUAUUGGGCGUAAAGCGCGCGCAGGCGGAUAGGUCAGUCUGUCUUAAAAGUUCGGGGCUUAACCCCGUGAUGGGAUGGAAACUGCCAAUCUAGAGUAUCGGAGAGGAAAGUGGAAUUCCUAGUGUAGCGGUGAAAUGCGUAGAUAUUAGGAAGAACACCAGUGGCGAAGGCGACUUUCUGGACGAAAACUGACGCUGAGGCGCGAAAGCCAGGGGAGCGAACGGGAUUAGAUACCCCGGUAGUCCUGGCCGUAAACGAUGGGUACUAGGUGUAGGAGGUAUCGACCCCUUCUGUGCCGGAGUUAACGCAAUAAGUACCCCGCCUGGGGAGUACGACCGCAAGGUUGAAACUCAAAGGAAUUGACGGGGGCCCGCACAAGAAGG
rnacentral:rRNA from 1 species